rnacentral:rRNA from 1 species
CCUGGCUCAGAUUGAACGCUGGCGGCAUGCCUUACACAUGCAAGUCGAACGGCAGCACGGGAGCUUGCUCCUGGUGGCGAGUGGCGAACGGGUGAGUAAUACAUCGGAACGUACCCAGGAGUGGGGGAUAACGUAGCGAAAGUUACGCUAAUACCGCAUAUUCUGUGAGCAGGAAAGCGGGGGAUCGCAAGACCUCGCGCUCUUGGAGCGGCCGAUGUCGGAUUAGCUAGUUGGUGAGGUAAAAGCUCACCAAGGCGACGAUCCGUAGCAGGUCUGAGAGGAUGAUCUGCCACACUGGGACUGAGACACGGCCCAGACUCCUACGGGAGGCAGCAGUGGGGAAUUUUGGACAAUGGGGGCAACCCUGAUCCAGCCAUGCCGCGUGAGUGAAGAA